rnacentral:rRNA from 1 species
AGAGUUUGAUCCUGGCUCAGGAUGAACGCUAGCUACAGGCUUAACACAUGCAAGUCGAGGGGAAACGAUAGAGAAAGCUUGCUUUUUCUAGGCGUCGACCGGCGCACGGGUGAGUAACGCGUAUCCAACCUGCCCACCACUUGGGGAUAACCUUGCGAAAGUAAGACUAAUACCCAAUGACGUCUCUAGAAGACAUCUGAAAGAGAUUAAAGAUUUAUCGGUGAUGGAUGGGGAUGCGUCUGAUUAGCUUGUUGGCGGGGUAACGGCCCACCAAGGCGACGAUCAGUAGGGGUUCUGAGAGGAAGGUCCCCCACAUUGGAACUGAGACACGGUCCAAACUCCUACGGGAGGCAGCAGUGAGGAAUAUUGGUCAAUGGACGAGAGUCUGAACCAGCCAAGUAGCGUGCAGGAAGACGGCCCUAUGGGUUGUAAACUGCUUUUAUAAGGGAAUAAAGUGAGAGUCGUGACUCUUUUUGCAUGUACCUUAUGAAUAAGGACCGGCUAAUUCCGUGCCAGCAGCCGCGGUAAUACGGAAGGUCCGGGCGUUAUCCGGAUUUAUUGGGUUUAAAGGGAGCGUAGGCCGGAGAUUAAGCGUGUUGUGAAAUGUAGACGCUCAACGUCUGCACUGCAGCGCGAACUGGUUUCCUUGAGUACGCACAAAGUGGGCGGAAUUCGUGGUGUAGCGGUGAAAUGCUUAGAUAUCACGAAGAACUCCGAUUGCGAAGGCAGCUCACUGGAGCGCAACUGAUGCUGAAGCUCGAAAGUGCGGGUAUCGAACAGGAUUAGAUACCCUGGUAGUCCGCACGGUAAACGA